UCAGACACUGCACUUCUUUAUACUUCUGAGAAAGACAUUUGUUCUGAUGGCAUUCGGUGCCUGAGAAAAAUGCAGUAGUUGAUGACCUCCCUGGAAGGGUAUUGCAAAAGGAGAGUCUUCUUAAGACCUCAACGCUUAGGAAAGAGUAAUCCAAAUCAGUUUCUGUUGAUAAAUAUUUCCUAACUAGAAAUCAACUUAGGUUUCACUAGUGAAAACUCUCAAAGCAUGUGCUUGAUAUAAAGGUUUUGCAGUCCUGACUAACCCCAUUUCUUGAGUCAAGGCCUGAAGUGAUGAAAGCUUGACCAAUUUACAAGAAAUGGCUUGGCUGACAUGAAUUACUUUAAAACAUUAUAGUGGCUUUCAGAGAGGAGCAGCUUGAUAGGAGGUUUGUCUUGAGCUUGAAAUGAGCAAUUAGGUAUGGAAAGCAUAAGAAUUAUUUAUUUUUAACUGACAUCCCACUUUUCUUAUAUGUGGCUGCAGGAAAAACCUGUCUGGAAAGACACAACACUGAUGGCAUUGAGAACAAGGUAUAUUACCCUUAUCCUGACUAGGACUUGGACAUUAGUUCCAUAGAAAAAAUCUACUGCUUUUUUUCCUUUUCCUUGUUUCCUUUGGUGAUAAAAAAAAGUGAGAAUAUGGGCAUGCUGUAGAGUCAGAAACAUUUCCUUUAUGGGUGAAAAGAGGAACAAAUGAGUUAAGAGAAAAGCAAGGACUCCCUAACCUCGUAUUUUCCACAGUUCACUACUGCAGGAACUAAAAUGAAUGCUAGAUGGGGAAUGGAAAAGUUUGCUGCUGCUAACACUGAGGUGAUACUGCUCUAUGUAACUAUAAAAGUAAGGACUGUUUCCAUUUUGUUUCAUGUGUUUGUUUUACCUGAACUUUCCAGGCUCAUCCCCCAGGCAUCAGCACGUGCUUGGUCACUGAGAAAUGAAAAAGAGUAGGAAAUAAACUUUAUCUGCUCUUCUGUCUCUCUGCUGGUCACAGACUCGAACCAGAACGAGGUGUCGUUAUCUACCCGGGAUGGCUCUGGGCACCACAAUGACAGAAUCCCCUCAGAAGUCCACUGUGCGGCAUUUUUAACUGAAGGGAGAGAAACAAGCUAGAGGAUCCUUCACAGACCUAUAGGGCCAAUUUCAAUCUCAGCGUGAGGCCAUCUCCACAAGCAGAUGUUUAAUUUAUUGCACUGAAAUGCUGGAAUGCCACAUUUGAGGCUGGCUCUUUGACUAAUAUGUGAAAGUUAAGAAGAACCCAGCCAAAACACCACAAACCCAAAGGAAACAGAUCUUGUUUUGCUGUCAACAGCCUGACAGAUAAUAGUUAAAGAUCUGAAAACAAUGUUUUAAACUUACAAAAUAUAAAGGAGAUCCUGUUCCUGCAGGAAGGAAGUGGUUUACAACAGUGAAGUGUGGUGAUCGCCUAGCAAGUUGAUCCCAUUGUAAGAGCUCAUCAGGCAUUGCUUUCAGCACCUGCAGAAGA